UGGGGAAUUUUGGACGAUGGGGGAAACCCUGAUCCAGCCAUCCCGCGUGUGCGAUGAAGGCCUUCGGGUUGUAAAGCACUUUUGGCAGGAAAGAAACGUCAUGGGUUAAUACCCCGUGAAACUGACGGUACCUGCAGAAUAAGCACCGGCUAACUACGUGCCAGCAGCCGCCGUAAUACGUAGGGUGCAAGCGUUAAUCGGAAUUACUGGGCGUAAAGCGUGCGCAGGCGGUUCGGAAAGAAAGAUGUGAAAUCCCAGAGCUCAACUUUGGAAAUGCAUUUUUAACUACCGGGCUAGAGUGUGUCAGAGGGAGGUGGAAUUCCGCGUGUAGCAGUGAAAUGCGGAGAUAUGCGGAGGAACACCGAUGGCGAAGGCAGCCUCCUGGGAUAACACUGACGCUCAUGCACGAAAGCGUGGGGAGCAAACAGG
rnacentral:rRNA from 1 species